rnacentral:rRNA from 1 species
GACAGAGGUGCCGAGCGUUAGGCGGAAUCACUGGGCUUAAAGCGUGUGUAGGCGGGUCCGUAAGUACCUUGUGAAAUCCCACAGCUUAACUGUGGAACUGCUUGGUAUACUGCGGGUCUUGAGCCACUUAGGGGCAACCGGAACAAACGGUGGAGCGGUGAAAUGCGUAGAUAUCGUUUGGAACGCCAAUGGUGAAAACAGGUUGCUGGGAGUGUGCUGACGCUGAGACACGAAAGCCAGGGGAGCAAACGGG